UACGGGGGGGGCAAGCGUUGUUCGGAAUUACUGGGCGUAAAGGGCUCGUAGGCGGCCAACUAAGUCAGACGUGAAAUCCCCAGGCUUAACCUGGGAACUGCGUCUGAUACUGGAUGGCUUGAAUUCGGGAGAGGGAUGCAGAAUUCCAGGUGUAGCGGUGAAAUGCGUAGAUAUCUGGAGGAAUACCGGUGGCGAAGGCGGCAUCCUGGACCGACAUUGACGCUGAUGAGCGAAAGCUAGGGGAGCAAACGGGG
rnacentral:rRNA from 1 species